rnacentral:rRNA from 1 species
GACGAACGCUGGCGGCGUGCCUAACACAUGCAAGUCGAACGGAGAUUUCAUUUAUGAAAUCUUAGUAGCGAACGGGUGAGUAACGCGUAGACAACCUGCCUUUUAGAUGGGGACAACACCGCGAAAGUGGUGCUAAUACCGAAUGUUGUAUUUUGGUUGCAUGACUGAGAUACUAAAGAUGGCCUCUAUAUAUAAGCUAUCGCUAAAAGAUGGGUCUGCGUCUGAUUAGCUAGUUGGUGAGGUAAUGGCUCACCAAGGCGACGAUCAGUAGCCGGUCUGAGAGGAUGAACGGCCACACUGGGACUGAGACACGGCCCAGACUCCUACGGGAGGAAGCAGUGGGGAAUCUUCCGCAAUGGACGAAAGUCUGACGGAGCAACGCCGCGUGAGUGAAGAAGGUUUUCGGAUCGUAAAGCUCUGUUUUCAGGGACGAAUGUGGGAUGUGUAAAUAAUGCAUCCUAAUGACGGUACCUGAGUAGAAAGCCACGGCUAACUACGUGCCAGCCGCCGCCGUAAAAC